CCUACGGGCGGCAGCAGUGAGGAAUAUUGGUCAAUGGACGAGAGUCUGAACCAGCCAAGUAGCGUGAAGGAUGACUGCCCUAUGGGUUGUAAACUUCUUUUAUAUGGGAAUAAAAUGUUCCACGUGUGGGAUUUUGUAUGUACCAUAUGAAUAAGGAUCGGCUAACUCCGUGCCAGCAGCCGCGGUAAUACGGAGGAUCCGAGCGUUAUCCGGAUUUAUUGGGUUUAAAGGGAGCGUAGGUGGAUUGUUAAGUCAGUUGUGAAAGUUUGCGGCUCAACCGUAAAAUUGCAGUUGAAACUGGCAGGCUUGAGGACAGUAGAGGUGGGCGGAAUUCGUGGUGUAGCGGUGAAAUGCUUAGAUAUCACGAAGAACUCCGAUUGCGAAGGCAGCUCACUGGACUGCAACUGACACUGAGGCUCGAAAGUGUGGGUAUCAAACAGGAUUAGAUACCCUAGUC
rnacentral:rRNA from 1 species